GACGAACGCUGGCGGCGUGCUUAACACAUGCAAGUCGAGCGGCGCGGCGAACGGGUGAGUAACGCGUUAGUAACUGCCCCCCUCUCUGGGAUAACAGUUGGAAACGGCUGCUAAUACCUGAUAGUGGGGGAUGACUCGCGUCCUAUCGGCUUGUUGGUGGGGUAGUGGCCUACCAAGGCGACGACGGGUAGCCGGCCUGAGAUGGCGACCUGCCACAUUGGGCUGAGAUACGGCCCAAAGUCCUAGGGGGGGCAGCAGUGGGGAAUGUUGCACAAUGGGGGAGACACUGAUGCGGAAAGGCGGGUGCGGGAUGACGGCCUUCGGGUUGUAAACCGCUUUCAGCCAUGACGCGGUAGUGGCAGAAGAAGCACCGGCUAACUACGUGCCAGCAGCCGCGGUAAUUC
rnacentral:rRNA from 1 species